GGGAAUAUUGGACAAUGGGCAAAAGCCUGAUCCAGCAAUGCCGCGUGGGUGAAGAAGGUCUUCGGAUUGUAAAGCCCUUUCGGCGGGGACGAUGAUGACGGUACCCGCAGAAGAAGCCCCGGCUAACUUCGUGCCAGCAGCCGCGGUAAUACGAAGGGGGCUAGCGUUGCUCGGAAUGACUGGGCGUAAAGGGCGCGUAGGCGGUUUGCACAGUCAGAUGUGAAAUUCCUGGGCUUAACCUGGGGGCUGCAUUUGAUACGUGUGGACUAGAGUUUGGAAGAGGGUCGUGGAAUUCCCAGUGUAGAGGUGAAAUUCGUAGAUAUUGGGAAGAACACCGGUGGCGAAGGCGGCGACCUGGUCCUUGACUGACGCUGAGGCGCGAAAGCGUGGGGAGCAAA
rnacentral:rRNA from 1 species